rnacentral:rRNA from 1 species
CCUACGGGUGGCUGCAGUGGGGAAUAUUGGGCAAUGGGCGAAAGCCUGACCCAGCAACGCCGCGUGAAGGAAGAAGGGUUUCGGCUCGUAAACUUCUAUUAUCCGGGACGAAACAAAUGACGGUACCGAAUGAAUAAGCCCCGGCUAACUACGUGCCAGCAGCCGCGGUAAUACGUAGGUGGCAAGCGUUAUCCGGAUUUACUGGGUGUAAAGGGUGAGUAGGCGGGAGGGUAAGCCAGACGUGAAAGCCUUGGGCUUAACCCGGGUAUUGCGUUUGAAACUAUCAAGCUAGAGUAAAGGAGAGGCAAGCGGAAUUCCGAGUGUAGCGGUGAAAUGCGUAGAUAUACGGAGGAACACCAGUGGCGAAGGCGGCUUUCUGGACUGAAACUGACGCUGAGGCACGAAAGCGUGGGGAGCGAACAGGAUUAGAUACCCGAGUAGUC